GCGUUUGUGGUUUAGUGGUAAAAUUCAUCGUUGCCAAGCAUAACCGAAGGUUGAACGCUAGCUAUCUCGAUGAGCCCCGGGUUCGAUUCCCGGCAGACGCA